rnacentral:rRNA from 1 species
UACGUAGGGUGCAAGCGUUGUCCGGAAUCAUUGGGCGUAAAGAGCGUGUAGGCGGCUCGAUCAGUCUGCUGUGAAAGUCCAGGGCUCAACCCUGGGAUGCCGGUAGAUACUGUCGAGCUAGAGUCCGGAAGAGGCGAGUGGAAUUCCUGGUGUAGCGGUGAAAUGCGCAGAUAUCAGGAGGAACACCAAUGGCGAAGGCAGCUCGCUGGGACGGUACUGACGCUGAGACGCGAAAGCGUGGGGAGCAAACAGG